rnacentral:rRNA from 1 species
AUUGAACGCUGGCGGCAUGCCUUACACAUGCAAGUCGAACGGCAGCACGGAGCUUGCUCUGGUGGCGAGUGGCGAACGGGUGAGUAAUAUAUCGGAACGUACCCUAGAGUGGGGGAUAACGUAGCGAAAGUUACGCUAAUACCGCAUACGAUCUAAGGAUGAAAGUGGGGGAUCGCAAGACCUCAUGCUCGUGGAGCGGCCGAUAUCUGAUUAGCUAGUUGGUAGGGUAAAAGCCUACCAAGGCAUCGAUCAGUAGCUGGUCUGAGAGGACGACCAGCCACACUGGAACUGAGACACGGUCCAGACUCCUACGGGAGGCAGCAGUGGGGAAUUUUGGACAAUGGGCGAAAGCCUGAUCCAGCAAUGCCGCGUGAGUGAAGAAGGCCUUCGGGUUGUAAAGCUCUUUUGUCAGGGAAGAAACGGUGAGAGCUAAUAUCUCUUGCUAAUGACGGUACCUGAAGAAUAAGCACCGGCUAACUACGUGCCAGCAGCCGCGGUAAUACGUAGGGUGCAAGCGUUAAUCGGAAUUACUGGGCGUAAAGCGUGCGCAGGCGGUUUUGUAAGUCUGAUGUGAAAUCCCCGGGCUCAACCUGGGAAUUGCAUUGGAGACUGCAAGGCUAGAAUCUGGCAGAGGGGGGUAGAAUUCCACGUGUAGCAGUGAAAUGCGUAGAUAUGUGGAGGAACACCGAUGGCGAAGGCAGCCCCCUGGGUCAAGAUUGACGCUCAUGCACGAAAGCGUGGGGAGCAAACAGGAUUAGAUACCCUGGUAGUCCACGCCCUAAACGAUGUCUACUAGUUGUCGGGUCUUAAUUGACUUGGUAACGCAGCUAACGCGUGAAGUAGACCGCCUGGGGAGUACGGUCGCAAGAUUAAAACUCAAAGGAAUUGACGGGGACCCGCACAAGCGGUGGAUGAUGUGGAUUAAUUCGAUGCAACGCGAAAAACCUUACCUACCCUUGACAUGGCUGGAAUCCUUGAGAGAUCAGGGAGUGCUCGAAAGAGAACCAGUACACAGGUGCUGCAUGGCUGUCGUCAGCUCGUGUCGUGAGAUGUUGGGUUAAGUCCCGCAACGAGCGCAACCCUUGUCAUUAGUUGCUACGAAAGGGCACUCUAAUGAGACUGCCGGUGACAAACCGGAGGAAGGUGGGGAUGACGUCAAGUCCUCAUGGCCCUUAUGGGUAGGGCUUCACACGUCAUACAAUGGUACAUACAGAGCGCCGCCAACCCGCGAGGGGGAGCUAAUCGCAGAAAGUGUAUCGUAGUCCGGAUCGUAGUCUGCAACUCGACUGCAUGAAGUUGGAAUCGCUAGUAAUCGCGGAUCAGCAUGUCGCGGUGAAUACGUUCCCGGGUCU